UUGGCGACUCCUGCAGCGGAGGGCGAGCAGGAGCCCACCAACACGCCGCGCCGCCGGCCUGCUGUCCUGACGUGCCGCCUCCUGGACGCGCGGCCGACCCGUGCUGCUGGCCGUCUUUCCCGACACGCCGCUGUGGCCCAACCGCGCUGGCACACUGAUGUGCGGCCGCCUCGCCCCGCCGGCUUGCUGCCCCGACACGCUGCUUGGCCUGCUCUGACACUGACCCCGACGUGCCUUGUGCAGGAGUUCUUCACCAUCACCAAGUGCUCGACAGAUUGCCUCAGCCAGGUAUUUGAACAUUCACUUUGACUAUGCUUAUACUCGGUGACGUAUUGGUUCUAUCUUCCUUUGAAAUUCCCUCUCCACAAUUACGCCCUACUCAAAGGAGAUACUUGUUAGUGAUGGCAGUGGCGGCUCCAGUGGAGCAGGCGACAUCUUGAUUAGUAGAACGGGUACGUAUGUAAAUUUUUAAUUUGGAGCUGACCAGCUGUGGUAACUUGUAACAUCAGACUGCAAAUCAAAUGGUUCUCUACACUUCUUGGCCUCAAACAAUGAUUGUGGAGUUAGAGACUUUGACAUGGAAAAGUUUCGAUCUGCAAUAACUUCCUAUUUGCUUGGCCUGUGAAUCAUACAUCACUGAGUCCUGAUGGCAAACUUGCUGUGAUUGUGGGGGACAAUCCUGAUGGACUUCUGGUUGGAUGUUAAUUCAGGAAAAACGCUUCAUAAUCUCCACGGCCAUUUGGAUUACUCCUUCGCAUCAGCAUGGAACCCAGAUGGCCGAACAUUCGCCACUGGAAACCAAGACAAGACAUGCAAAGUAUGGGACAUCAGGAAUCUCCCCAAAUCACUUGCUGUAUUGGUUUAAUAGAUUAGGACUGCAUUUGUAAUGUAUAUAGUGGAUAAAGCAUGUGAAUUUGUGAUGUAAAGAAUAUUUGUGAUGUAAAGAAUGGAUAAA